UCAAGCUAUAAAGAGCGCAGGGUGGAUGCCUUGGCACUAAGAGCCGAUGAAAGACGUGAUAAGCUGCGAAAAGCUUCGGGGAGGAGCAAAUAUCCAUUGAUCCGGAGAUAUCUGAAUGGGGAAACCCGGCUGAGCAACCCUCAGUCACCGUACAGUGAAUCCAUAGCUGUGCGGAGGGAACCCGGUGAACUGAAACAUCUAAGUAGCCGGAGGAAAAGAAAGAAACAUCGAUUCCGGGAGUAGCGGCGAGCGAAACCGGAAGAGCCUAAACCAGCGUGCGUGCAUGCUGGGGUUACGGACUGCAUAAGUGAGCUGAUUCGUUAAUGGAACGGGCUGGGAAGCCCGGCCAGAGAGAGUGAGAGCCUCGUACAUGAAAGCGAUAGGCAGCGGCAGGAUCCAGAGUACCGCGGGACACGAGAAACCCUGCGGGAAGUCGGAGGGACCACCCUCCAAGGCUAAAUACUCCUUAGUGACCGAUAGCGCAUAGUACUGUGAAGGAAAGGUGAAAAGGACCCCGGGAGGGGAGUGAAAGAGAACCUGAAACCCUGUGUUUACAAGCUGUGGGAGCACGUUAAGGUGCGACCGCGUACUUUUUGUAGAACGGUCCGGCGAGUUGCCGGCGCUGGCAAGGUUAAGCGGUAAAGCCGUGGAGCCGAAGGGAAACCAAGUCUCAAAUGGGCGUAAAGUCAGCGCAGGCAGACCCGAAACCGGGUGACCUAUCCAUGUCCAGGUUGAAGCGGAAGUAAAAUUCCGUGGAGGACCGGAUCCACAUCCGUUGAAAAGGGUGGGAAUGAGGUGUGGAUAGGGGAGAAAUUCCAAUCGAACCCGGAGAUAGCUGGUUCUCCUCGAAAUAGCUUUAGGGCUAGCCUCGUAUUAGUUUAGCGGAGGUAGAGCACUGAAUUCCUAAGGGGGCGUCAAAGCUUACCAAGGGAUAUCAAACUCCGAAUGCCGCAUAAAUGAUGUACGGGAGUCAGACUGCACGAGAUAAGUUGGGCAGUCAAAAGGGAAAGAGCCCAGACCUACAGCUAAGGUCCCAAAGUGUGUGUUAAGUGGAAAAGGAUGUGGGAUUUCAGAGACAACCAGGAUGUUGGCUUAGAAGCAGCCACACAUUCAAAGAGUGCGUAAUAGCUCACUGGUCGAGAGGUCCUGCGCCGAAAAUGUCCGGGGCUGAAACACAACACCGAAGCUUAGGAACGAGAGAUCGUUGGUAGAGGAGCAUUCUUAAAGGGGCGAAGCAGUACCGGCAAGGAGCUGUGGACUUUUAAGAAGAGAGAAUGCCGGAAUGAGUAGCGAGAUGGAGGUGGGAAUCCUCCAGGCCGAAUAUCCAAGGUUUCCAGAGUAAAGCUGAUCUGCUCUGGGUAAGUCGGGGCCUAAGGCGAGGCUGAAAAGCGUAGCCGAUGGACAACAGGUUGAGAUUCCUGUACCGCGUAUCAUCAGAACUGUGGGGACACAGAAGGACAGCACAUCCCGGGAAUGGGAAGACCGGGGCAAGCAGGGUAGGAGCUAAACAGGCAAAUCCGUUUAGCAAUCCGAAGCUGUGAUGCGGAGCGAACAGAAGUAGCGAAGUGUGCGAUUCCAGCUGUCAAGAAAAGCCGCUAUUGUGUGAUACGUGCCCGUACCGUAAACCGACACAGGUAGAUGAGGAGAGAAUCCUAAGGCCGGCGGGAGAAGCAUUGUUAAGGAACUCGGCAAAAUGACCCUGUAACUUCGGGAGAAAGGGUGCCUGGGAAACCAGGCCGCAGAGAAUAGGCUCAAGCAACUGUUUAGCAAAAACACAGGUCUAUGCAAAACCGUAAGGUGAGGUAUAUGGGCUGACGCCUGCCCGGUGCUGGAAGGUUAAGAGGAGAGGUUAGAGCAAUCGAAGCUUUGAAUUGAAGCCCCAGUAAACGGCGGCCGUAACUAUAACGGUCCUAAGGUAGCGAAAUUCCUUGUCGGGUAAGUUC
rnacentral:rRNA from 1 species